UUUUUUGGUUUACCCUAAUUCCGAAAUCAACGUUUCACGCGUAUCCACCGUCAAAAUAUUUGCUGACCUUUUAUUCAGAACCGUCGGAUCACUCCACCCUCUCAAUAAAUUACGAUCUUAUCUCUUUCAUUCUUUUGUAUUCAUUUCUUCAUCCAUUUGAAGUUCUGAUUUCGAUUCAGAUCUACUCUUGUUCGUUUCUUUUCUCAAAUUUUUGUUAUGUUAUCCUUGUAGAUCGUGAAGUGAUCUACGUUCUCAGUAUGGCUUCAAUAGCUUUGCUGGGAUUGAUUGUUCGACGAGUGUUUGGUGCCGUCAACGGAGAAAAUCUGUGAAUCGCUUUGCAUCGAUGGAGAACGGUUAGAUCUGGGCUCAAUUCAGCUGACGGAUCAAUGUAACUCGCAGUUCUGUUGGUAAUAUACUAUGUUUUAAAAUUAUUUUAGCUUUAUUUCUAUGUUCAUAUAAUGAAUAAGACUUUCAUGUUGCUGUCUUGCUCAUAUUUGUAAUCAGCAGAUCUGUUGUUGAUAUCUGCUUUUUAUGAAAUUGUUAAUGUUUUUUAGUUUUUUGCAGGAUAAAGAAAUGGCUUCUGCUGACAAUUCGUUGCAGUUUACGCUCUUUUUAUGGUAUCUAUCCUCGUCAUGGUGUCCGAGCAGAGACAUCUAUUCUUGUUGAUGCUCAAGGCCCGAAAUCAUUUGCGGAUGCUGGAUGAUGGACUUAGAAAGGAUAAAAAUUCUGUCUACAUGGAUACAAGGUUCUAACAUGUUUAAUGGCUUUCAUAAUUAUGAUUCAUUUAAUGUUAAUUCGAAAAAAUGAGCUAGAAGUAGUUGUGACAAGAUAUUUAGAAAAGAGAGGCUAUGUGUAAGAAAAGAGUGGCUUAUGUUCGUCUCGCCGACCUUUGCCAUGUCGGGUGCGCUCACAUGGCAGGUCAAAAGCUCAAUAAAAUACAUAAUAUUUUUGAUUUUGAGGAGAGAUGGUACGGGGAUUUUUGCCCGGCUCUCUCCGCGUGUGGUGUCUUUUUAUUCUUUUCCUUUCUCUCCUCGUUCUCGUUUCUAUUGCUGCGAUAAUUUUAUUUCUGUUUGGUCCUUGAAUGGGUUGGGGCCUUUUCCUGUGUUACAAAGAUGUCAUGAAACCCGUUCAAGGAUAAAGCAUAAUUUAUUUUUUUCCCGGAGCAAAGUCACCAGUAAGUCGCCAAUGCCAGAAUGGGUCUUCUCAAGUAUCAACGAUUUCCCAAGGUACAAUGUUAGAUAUUUAUUAGCUAGCAUCUGAUUGAUUAAAAACAUUUCAAACUUACAAUUGUUUAGCCAUUCCAUCUCAUAUUAAAGUUGAGCGGUUAGAUAGGAAAGCUAUGUCUGCAAAAAUUAGGCUUUAUUUUGUGUUUCAAGAUUUAGCAGUUUUUGAUAAAAAGUUUGUUAAAAUGUGGAGAACAUAAACGCUGCUUGUCCCGAGAUGUUUUUGAUAAACUUUCAGCCAUGAUAUUUUUUAUUAAACAAGCUACAUAUUAACUUGCUUAAUAUAUUGGUAUUUUCUUGACCAUGUACCCAACUUCUUGCAAUCUCAUGAUUUGAUGGGUAACUUCUCGGAAUAUCCUUACUAUCUUGGAUUUUGGGUAAACACUCAAUUGAAAGCUUAAGAAUUUUUGAAUGGUGAUCAUUUAUUUCGUCCAUCUAUAAUUAAAUACCAUUCCUGAAUUUGCCGAAGAAUAGAAAGGCUCAAAUCAAUUUGUUGUCAUAAUGUUUUGGUGAACGUCAAACAUGGUUAUUUGGCAAAUCCAAUUUUACCGGAGAUAUCAUAAAUAUGUUUCACAUGUAAUUUACAUAUGGCAAUGUUAACAAAAUUAUCUUAUCUACUAUCCCGAUCCUGAAUUCGUAACAUUCACUAUGAAGAUCAAUCCUGAGCAACUAACAAUUUUCGCUUCAAUUCAGUUGUAUAGUACAAAGUACGAGCGGAAUUUAUUGCUUGUUGUAGCUUUAUUUUUCCUGGUCCUAUACAUAUAUGAAUCUUAUUCGUACUGUUUUUUACCUGGUGUUGAAUUUAUUUUGUCAUUCUUGGGUCAUUAUCCUGCUGGAGUGUAUUGUAGAUUUAUUGGUAUUGACCAGAAGCCUUCUUUCUGUAAUGUAAUUGAAGGCCAUUACGCAUGGUAUGUAGAUGAGGAAUGCAGAUCUUUUUGAUUUAUACACUAGAUCAGCGUUUCUCCAUUUUCCUUCCAUGGGAAAAUGUUUGCAACUUUUUGUGUCAUGUUGGUUUGGAUUGCCUCACGGAGUGGAAAUACAUGAAGAUGAUCCUGUUUGUUUUUGCUGUUGAUCCGCUGCUGCUGCCUCUGCCUCUGCCUCUGCCUCUGCCUCUGCUGCUGCUGCUGCUGCUAUUGCUAAACUUGAUACUUCAAGAUGCCUCAUCCUUCAAAGCAUCUAGAACCUGUGGAUUGCGAUGAAUGUUUGUGAUAUAUCUCAUUUAAUGCUUGUGCCAUGUUCAUUCCUUUGUGCUGUCCCUGCAAACUUGCUGAAGGUGCGUGCUGCUGCUGCUUGAUAUCUAUGAUUUGGCCAGUCCUGUGUUACAAUAUGCACAGGCUGAUCAUCAAAAUUCUUCACUCUUGAUACUGUUUUAGUGAACUGUUAAUCCUAUAAACGAUGCUAUUUGUUGAGUUCCUCAUUCACAAACUGGUGGCCAUAAAUGGUGUUAAUGUUCAUGACGGUUGUUGAUAUGGAUCUUGUAUCGCUUUGCUUCUGCACUAUAAGUUGUUUAUGUCGAUAAUUAUUCGAGGCGGUUGAUCAGUUACAGUUAUUUGAUGUAGUUCAUGGUAAUGGUAAUGGAUUUUUUUAGUGGAUUUAAUUGCGAUUUUUUUAGCGUUUAAUGUCUUAAUUUCUAUCUUAUGUUUUUGUAGGUGGACUUGGGAUCUAUUUCGUUGUGUUUAUAGGGAUGAACAUUAGCCUUGGGAGAAAGUUAAGUGAGGUACAUGUCCAAGGCGCUGUUUUAAAACCACUGUAAGUGGGAAUACAUUUAUAAUUGUAUUUACAAGUAAUAUAUAGUCGAGAAAUUUGCGUGUUGAGGUUUUGAUUAUUUUAUGUAUUUAGAGGAGAAAAUAAGCUAUGAAUGUUUAGUAGUUUUCCUUAUCCCUAAGAACUGUCGACCAAACAUACACUGCCUUGAGGCGGGUACCUGCUCGAUGCGUAUCUCAAAUUGCGUUGUCACAUUUAGCUUUAAAUUUUGAAUUUCGGCAGAAUUCUGAUGUGGAAAUCAAUUUUGCAACUGAGCUUGGUUUUUCGAUUAAUUUGGGACGAAAACGGAAUUUCAGUGUUGGUCCAGUUAAAAUUCUAUUAAUUUUGCAAACUGCUUUUUUUAAUUAAUGAAUUUUUUAGUUUUAUAUUAACUGAACUAAGCUCAUGUCUUUCCUCGUGUUUUAAAAAAUUCAUUUGUUAUAAAUUUAUUUUCAACUACAUGUUAUUUCACUAAAUAAUUCUGUACUUCAUUUUUUUUGGUUAAAUAGAACCGUACAUUUUAAAAAAUUUACUUUUUCAAAAUAUAUUUUCCUUGAAAAUGGGUUGUCAAAUUUAUUUAUUUUUGCAGCAGGGCCACAUGUUCGUUUGGCCUAUAUUAAUUUUUGUUUCAUUGUAUUUCAUUUUUUCCUUUCUUAUUUUUAACUGCACAAUCUUUUAUAAAGUAAUACGUAAAUCAAAAUGUUCUUUAAAAAAAAAAAGAAGCUUAUUUCACUCAUCUUUAUUAUCACAAAAUGGGUGCUAUUUUAAUUUGGAAUGCCGGAUGUUGACCGUGCAUAGUUGUAUUGCAUCCGAAUUCAAAUUCUUGGGUAACCAGCCUAAUCAUCACCUCUUGAGCGAAACUAUGAUAUGGAGAAAAGUUAUUAUCUAAUCCUCAAUAAAAGGGGAUGGGGUGCGACAUCUAUUUUUGAUAGGUCAAUUUAGUUACAUUCGUAGGUGGUUUUGGUGGAAAUUACUUGAAAAAUGUCUGGUGGGAAAAGAUUACCUUCAUUAAUAUUAUAUCGGUAUGUAUCACGGGGCAUUCUCUCAUAAUUUUAACUCUGCCAUUUGAUCAAACCAUGAUUUGGAAGAAGACUGAAUGAAGUGUGUGUGACACCGUGGGCAAUUAGAUUGGAAAUAACAAUGGGACAAAUUCCUAGUAGAAGCUUUAUAAUUUAACUCUGUUCUGAUUGGAUGGAUCCAGAAGCUCAAAAAUGGGAGUGCGCUCGAUUGCUUUUUGCAUUUGAGAGGUUGGUGGUUCGAAUCCACCUGGAUCCGCUAUUUUAUGGUUGUCAAGAAUUGAAAUUUUGUGUAGGUUUUUUUAUUGGAAAAUAUAGUAUUUAGAAAUUUCUUUUACAUGUUCUUUUACAUUUUGAGUUAUAGUUAAUGUGUAAUUUGCACGACUAAGAGGGGCCAAUGGAGAGGCACAAUUAUGCGUGUUGGAAUUUGGAAGAAACUUUUAAAGAAAUUUCUUAAUUGAAGACUUUCCAACAUAAUUUGAAGAAUUAUUAGGAAUUAAGUUUGCACUGUAUUCAUCGAAUAAUAAUUUGAUUUUUUAUUGACCUAUAUGAAAUGUAGAUCAAACUUAUUUGUUGUACAUUAUGUGCUUGUUUUUUCCAAUCCGUACGAACUAUGAAUAGAUUUUCAAUAGUUUUUUCUGUGCCACAUACAUUUAAAUAUGAAUAAUACCAUCUUAUGUCGGUAAUGUUGGAUAUAAGUUUAGAUAGCUAUUGAGGUUCACCUGUAUUGGUGUUAAAUAAGUUUAAAAUGUUCAAGGAUUUUUCCCUUUAGAACUCGAACUAUUAUUAUUUUUGAAUUAGAAAACUUGAACUGUUAUUAGCGAAAAACAAUCCUAUGCAAAAUAUGUUAUGAAAAUAAAUAUAAAGGGAAAACUGUUGAUAUCAAUUGAUUUUAUAAGUUGGUUUUUGAUCAAUUAUUUAAGGCAAACUUGUUAGAUACAUAAUUUCUUUAGUCGGAUGUGUUCAACUUUACGAGUAUAUUAACGUAGUUUACUUGGCUUCUCAAAAUCAAUGAAUGAGUGAGGAAUUAAGGUAGAAAAAGGAGCUGCUUGGGCUUGGAAAUUUUGCAGUCUAAUAUUAAUGGAAAAAUAAAGUCAUUUGUCCCACGUUGAAAAAUAGUUUACUUUAAAUUGCUCUAGUUGGAGUAAAUGGUUUUGGUCCGUCUUUGGUGGGGGGCCCUAUAUGUUGGUGGCCCCACAGGCAUGUAGCGUCAGUCGAGUUGGGCUCGAUUGUUGGUUAUGUGUCGUGGGCUUAGGAAUCAAUCAAAUCGUGAUAAGUGGAUUGUGACACGUGGCACAUUAUACGUGAUUCUGUAUCAUAGAAUGUCAUGUGUCAGGUUCUAAGAAGGUGACUGUCAAUCCUUUGGUCAAAUCUGAACGGGUCUAUGAAUAAUGAGAAAUGUUAGGUGAGAGGAGUGAAACCCCUUCGAUUAAAAAAAAAAAAAAAAAAAAAGAAAAAAAAAGUUGAACCUUAACUUUGAAGGUCUUUAGCGUCCCAUCCUUAAAGUUUUGUGAGGAGGAUAUUUUUUAAAAUAAAUAGACAAAAGAUUUUAAUGGAUGAUAAUGACAAAUUAAGCACUGAAAGUUCCUUUGAUCCCAUGUUGCAAACCAAAUAAUUGUAUCCAAUUGGAAGCUUGAAGAAUUCUUAUAUUCGUUGUUUAUUAACUUAGAAUCUGUUUGCCAGCUUUUCCAUUUUUGCUUUCACUUGUAUAAGAAUUUCUUGAGGAAGUUAUUUAUAUCAAUUUUCUUUAAGUAUUUUUCUAUUUAAACCAAGCACUUGCAUAAUAUUAUCCAAAUAUUUUC
rnacentral:lncRNA from 1 species